GUGAAUUGAGUGUAAUGACACACUCACCUGUGUAUCCUGAGCUCAUUCUGGAGCUUUAGUUAGACGACCUGUUUGUCAAUAAUAAUUAGCCUUUACUGUUCUCUGGACUUAAGUGCACACCCUGCCCCCUUGAUUAUUUUUAUUUUAAAGCAGUGAUUAGUCUUCCUCUUUGUCUUUCAGUGCAACCACAGUUCGUCCCUUAACCAAAUAUUCAGCAGUCCAGCUUCUGGGCAUGUAAGGACCUGCCUGAGAUCUUGUUGAGCAGCUGCCAAUUAAUUAGAUAAUGCUGGGCUGAUCAGACCAAUGGCCUGACUCCCUAUAAGAAAUCUUCACAAAGUAUGCACUGCAGAAGAAGGGAAAUGGGAACUGGAUUUUGAGAAGUGGAAUGCACACGAUUGGGAGUAAAUGCAGCUGUGUGUACUCUGUGCUUUGCUAGGGGUUUACUUAUGGGGUAAAGAAGAAGAGUAAGCUAAAUGAGGCUAUCAGAAGAAGGAGAAAUCUGAAGGAUGAAAGAAAAGUGAUGCAGUUUAAAGGAAGCAUUCAAGGAAUGCAUUGUCACCAUCCUACAAAUGCUGCUCCUCUAAGUGGCUGCCUGGAUCAUUUGUGUGGUCAGGCCUGGCCCAUGGCAAGCAUCUCAUCUGGCUGUCAAGACGGAUAACUAACCAUUGGAGGGUUUUGAGAAGAGCCUUAAUAUGGCCAAGGCAGCUGGAAAGCUUAUUAUAGUGUCUUCCUGUCACUAUUUCCCCUAAAGUGUGGUGUCUUUUGAGUUACCUUGUGGUGAAGAUCCACAGGGAAGAUGCCAUCUAAGACUCAGGGAACGAUUCAAAUACUGUGGUACCUCGGUUUAAGAACAGCCCUGUUUAGGAACUAUUCGGUUUACGAACUCCACAAAACCGGAAGUAGUGUCCUGGUUUGCGAACUUUAUCUCGGUCUAAGAAUGGAAUCCAAACAGUGGAAGGGCACUGGUGGCGGGAGGCCUCAUUAGGGAAAGCGUGCCUCAGUUUAAGAACAGUUUCAGUUUAAGAACAGACUUCUGGAACGGAUUAAGUUUGUAAACUGAGAUACCACUGUAUGUUGGAACGGCAAGUGAGCUGAAAAAUGCAGUUUUGCCAAAUUUAUCAGUCUGUGAUUUCUGCAAUUUAGAUUCUGCCUUCCUAAUUCUGUAUUUAGCCAAUUGUUUGUGCAUCU